ACGUCAGCGACUCUCUGCAUGUGAGGAACCCUCAGAUGGGGUGUUCAUCAAAUUUAAAUAUCCAAAUGGACACAUCAAUAUGACGAAAUUCAGCUUGUUGGAGCCAAUCCAGAUCUUGUUUGACUUUGUGGGACAAGAUGAUAUUGCCAGUGAAAUCUUUGUGGUGCAAGAAGCCACAUCACCAAGAUCAAUUGAGAGCACUUCCUCCGGGUCAAUAAUGGAUCAUGGCAUAAAAGCAACCUCAACUUUAUAUGUACUUUGGUUUUCAAAUCAUGAUGUACAGGAAAUUCUGUCGGAUCAACAAAAUGAUGGAGCUUAUGCCCUACGCCAUACAUCUCAUGGUCAGUCAUCGCUG